GGCUCAGAGCAAACGCUGGCGGCGUGCCUAAUACAUGCAAGUCGAACGGGGAAAGUAGCAAUAUGAGUACUAGUGGCGCACGGGUGAGGAACACGUGGGUAAUCUGCCUUCAAGCGGGGGAUAACCAGUCGAAAGACUGGCUAAUACCGCAUAAGACCACAAGAUCUGCGGAUCUAGAGGUCAAAGCCGCAAGGCACUUGAAGAUGAGCCCGCGUAAGAUUAGCUAGUUGGUGAGGUAACGGCUCACCAAGGCGAUGAUCUUUAGCUGGUCUGAGAGGAUGAUCAGCCACACUGGAACUGAGACACGGUCCAGACUCCUACGGGAGGCAGCAGUAGGGAAUAUUGCGCAAUGGGGGAAACCCUGACGCAGCGACGCCGCGUGAGUGAUGAAGGCCUUCGGGUCGUAAAGCUCUGUUAUAUGGGAAUAAGAUCUGAAUGUACCAUGUGAGAAAGGAUCGGCUAACUUCGUGCCAGCAGCCGCGGUAAGACGAGGGAUCCUAGCGUUGCUCGGAAUCAUUGGGCGUAAAGCGGGUGUAGGUGGCUUUAUAAGUCAGGUGUGAAAGCCCAGGGCUCAACCCUGGAAGUGCAUUUGAUACUGUUUAGCUUGAGUGUGGGAGAGGUUACUGGAAUACCUGGUGUAGUGGUGA
rnacentral:rRNA from 1 species